AAUGGCAAAAUUAAAAAUUAUGAAAAUAAUAUCAGCCCAUUACAGGAUGAGGAUGGUCACCUCACAAACAGGGAGAGACACAAGGCA